AGUGAACGCUGGCGGUAGGCCUAACACAUGCAAGUCGAACGGCAGCACAGUAAGAGCUUGCUCUUACGGGUGGCGAGUGGCGGACGGGUGAGGAAUACAUCGGAAUCUACUUUUUCGUGGGGGAUAACGUAGGGAAACUUACGCUAAUACCGCAUACGACCUACGGGUGAAAGCAGGGGAUCUUCGGACCUUGCGCGAUUGAAUGAGCCGAUGUCGGAUUAGCUAGUUGGCGGGGUAAAGGCCCACCAAGGCGACGAUCCGUAGCUGGUCUGAGAGGAUGAUCAGCGACACUGGAACUGAGACACGGUCCAGACGCCUACGGGAGGGAGCAGUGGGGAAUAUUGGACAACGGGCGCAAGCCUGAUCCAGCCAUCCCGCGUGGGUGAAGAAGGCCUUCGGGUUGUAAAGCCCUUUUGUUGGGAAAGAAAAGCAGCAGGUUAAGACCCCGCUGUUCUGACGGUACCCAAAGAAUAAGCACCGGCUAACUUCGUG
rnacentral:rRNA from 1 species